rnacentral:rRNA from 1 species
UGGGGAAUAUUGCACAAUGGGCGCAAGCCUGAUGCAGCCAUGCCGCGUGUGUGAAGAAGGCCUUCGGGUUGUAAAGCACUUUCAGCGGGGAGGAAGGCGAUAAGGUUAAUAACCUUGUCGAUUGACGUUACCCGCAGAAGAAGCACCGGCUAACUCCGUGCCAGCAGCCGCGGUAAUACGGAGGGUGCAAGCGUUAAUCGGAAUUACUGGGCGUAAAGCGCACGCAGGCGGUCUGUCAAGUCGGAUGUGAAAUCCCCGGGCUCAACCUGGGAACUGCAUUCGAAAAUGGCAGGCUAGAGUCUUGUAGAGGGGGGUAGAAUACCAGGUGUAGCGGUGAAAUGCGUAGAGAUCUGGGGGAAUACCGGUGGCGAAGGCGGCCCCCUGGUCAAAGACUGCCGCUCAGGUGCGAAAGCGUGGGGAGCAAACAGG